rnacentral:rRNA from 1 species
GGGGUAGAGCACUGUUUCGGCUAGGGGGUCAUCCCGACUUACCAACCCGAUGCAAACUCCGAAUACCGCGGAGUACAAUCAUGGCAGACACACGGCGGGUGCUAACGUCCGUCGUGAAGAGGGAAACAACCCAGACCGCCAGCUAAGGUCCCCAAGUACCAGUUAAGUGGGAAACGAUGUGGGAAGGCUCAGACAGCUAGGAGGUUGGCUUAGAAGCAGCCAUCCUUUAAAGAAAGCGUAA